UACGUAGGGGGCAAGCGUUGUCCGGAAUCAUUGGGCGUAAAGCGCGUGUAGGCGGCUCGAUAAGUCUGCUGUGAAAGUCCAGGGCUCAACCCUGGAAUGCCGGUGGAAACUGUCGAGCUAGAGUCCGGAAGAGGCGAGUGGAAUUGCUGGUGUAGCGGUGAAAUGCGUAGAGAUCAGCAGGAACACCCGUGGCGAAGGCGGCCACCUGGGCCUAACCUGACGCUGAGGCGCGAAGGCUAGGGGAGCGAACGGG
rnacentral:rRNA from 1 species